CGCGUAGGUGGUUUGUUAAGUCAGCUGUGAAAGCCCCGGGCUCAACCUGGGAAUUGCAGUUGAUACUGGCCGACUAGAGUACGAGAGAGGGAGGUAGAAUUCCAUGUGUAGCGGUGAAAUGCGUAGAUAUAUGGAGGAAUACCAGUGGCGAAGGCGGCCUCCUGGCUCGAUACUGACACUGAGGUGCGAAAGCGUGGGUAGCAAACAGGAUUAGAUACCCUGGUAGUCC
rnacentral:rRNA from 1 species